rnacentral:rRNA from 1 species
AUUGAACGCUGGCGGCAGGCCUAACACAUGCAAGUCGAACGAGUGGCGGACGGGUGAGUAAUGUCUGGGAAACUGCCUGAUGGGGGGGGAUAACUACUGGACACGGUAGCUAAUAACGCAUACCAUCGGAUGUGCCCAGCGGGGAUUAGCUAGUAGGUGGGGUAAAGGCUCACCUAGGCGACGAUCCCUAGCUGGUCUGAGAGGAUGACCAGCAAAAAUGGACCUGAGACACGGUCCAGAAUCCUACGGGAGGAAGCAGUGGGGAAUAUUGCACAAUGGGCGAAAUCCUGAUGCAGCCAUGCAGCGUGUAUGAAGAAGGCCUUCGGGUUGUAAAGUACUUUCAGCGGGGAGGCGUUACCCGCAGAAGAAGCACCGGCUAACUCCGUGCCAGCAGCCGCGGUAAUUC